AUAAAAGUUUCUAUGUCUGAUUUUAUGAGUGUGGGGAAUGUGAAAGAUUACUAGUUCUUGUUAAUAUGGAUUAUCUAGGAUUGAGGUGGUUGUGGGGACAGGAGGUUCAGGGGAUUCGGUGCUUGUCCAAUUCAGUUUACUACCAGAAUCAUGGAAAGAAUGAAGUUUGUGAACCGAGUCACCACUGUACAUAUAUAUGGUAUGUGUUCUCCUUUUCUACUUAUUUCUUGCUUUCAAAAGUGGGCAAGUAUCAGUUGUCAUCAUCAGAAUGUCACAUUCUCUCUGGGCUAUGUAUGUAUCCGUGUCUUUAUGUGUUUGCCAAAAAGAAUCCAGUUGUCAGGAAGAUGGUAGGAAUUGAGGAGCCACUGAGAGAAGCAGAGCCACCUGGGAUGAGGAUUAUCUCCUUGCAGAAGGUGAGAGUGCAUGGUUAUGUAAGAAUCAUUCUGGAGAAAUUAAGUGCAAUGGCCUUGAUGGGAAGAAUGGAUAUUUGCCAGUAGGUAAGGAAGGUGGUCUAAGUAUGGAGUCAGUUUCCUAUUGUUAGGGAGUGAGGGGCUUUCCUAUAUUUUUUGCCAGAAGCUUCCCUAUAUUUUUGUAGGGAAGUGGGAAAGGUUUGUCUAGCAAGUAGUUCUCCGAGUUGCUUGCUCAUUAGAAUCAUUUGGUGGUGGGGCAUCAACAACCACUGACAACUGAUCUACUUCCGGAGAUGGUGAUAAUUGGUCUUAGGUCUUCUGGAAGUCAGAACUUUUUAAAGAUCUCCUCCAGGUGAUCCCAAUGUGCAGCAACAAUUGUGAGCUAAGCCUCAGGCCAAUACUUCAAACCUGGUAGAUAUUAGAAUCACCAGCUGAGCAUUAAUAACUUUGAAACUAAUCUAAAUAGUAUGAAAAUCAUCUGGACACUGGGAUUGUUUUUAAAUCCCCCUGUCAAUUCUGAUGUAAGGCUAAAUUUGUGAAUCUCUGCCUUAAAAGAAGUUUAUAGCAACUCGAUAAAGAACUUCAGUGAAUUUAGAGCACUGUUUGUGGCUUCUCCAUGCUGGGCUCAGGCUAGAACUGCCAUGUAAUUAGGGACUAAGUAUUGUGGAAAUAAAAUAGAGCCAUUUUUAGGUUCCUUUUUUGCCUUGAGUCAUUAACCAUGUAUGUGAUUCAGAAUAUUUAGAAACACACAAGUGCAUUUGGUGAUCUGGUUUUUUGAGGCACAGACGUCACUUUGAGAUUCCAAGAAAGAAAAGUAUUGCAGGUUGUUUGAUGGACAUAAGAUUAUAUAGAUUAUAAAGAUUAUAGUGUGGGAAAAAGAGGCAGAAGGUCAAAGGGAAGUACAUUUCUUCUAGCCACUACAAUCACUUUUGCAUUCCAGGAAUGGAUGAUCCUCAGUGUGAAGGCCCACGUAAAUAAUAUCCUUCAGGAAAAAGGAUGUAUUCAUCAUUUGCCCUCACCACUUACUUUACUUGGAUAAAAUGGUUGUUUCUGGAAGAAAUAGUUCACUGCUGAGUUGAAUGAGUGGGUAGAAUACAAUAUCAGUGAGAAAUGGAGAGUGGAUCUCAUAGCAGAGUGAGAUGAGGAAGCUGGACAGAGCUGGCAGGAAAAGAUGCUGGAUGGUGCUGAGGAGUUAGCGCUUUCUGGGGAGAAAAAGGAAACAAUAAGAGGGUGAAUUAAUAAGAAUGAAAGAUUCCAAAGUUACUGUGCCUUUGGGCAAUUUCCUUUCAUUUAUUGAACAUAAGGAGAAGAAGCUGGGGAAUUGAUCUUUGACUUGAGGGUGGAAGAUGGGAAGAUAAUUUAAGAUUUAAUAUUUCUCUUAUUGAUAAUUAAACUUCACAGUCAUGGGAGAAGACAGUUAUAGUAGAGCAAUAGUGUAAAAAAGUAAGUGCAAAUGGCAUAUUAAAUAUUUUUUCUAAUACAAAAAUAAUAGUGUAGACAACUUCAAGGUAUAGAAAAGUACAAAAUAAUUGAAAAUCUUAACCCAAAGAUAAAUAUUCUUAGUAUUUACAUGUAUGUUAUUCCAGUGUUUCUCAUACAAAUGAAUCAAUAUGCUUUUCUUGAUAAGAAUUAUAUUGCCCUACACAAAAGCAAUUCACAUGAGAACGUUCUUGAUAUUCUAAGGGAGAAAAGCUUAACAAUACAAUACAAUUUACUACAAGUACUAUUCACUCAACCAAUUGGCUAUUGUGGUACCUCUAUGGCAUUUGAUUCCAAAGGGAACAACUUAAG
ensembl:lncRNA